rnacentral:rRNA from 1 species
AGCGAAUGGAUUAAGAGCUUGCUCUUAUGAAGUUAGCGGCGGACGGGUGAGUAACACGUGGGUAACCUGCCCAUAAGACUGGGAUAACUCCGGGAAACCGGGGCUAAUACCGGAUAACAUUUUGAACCGCAUGGUUCGAAAUUGAAAGGCGGCUUCGGCUGUCACUUAUGGAUGGACCCGCGUCGCAUUAGCUAGUUGGUGAGGUAACGGCUCACCAAGGCAACGAUGCGUAGCCGACCUGAGAGGGUGAUCGGCCACACUGGGACUGAGACACGGCCCAGACUCCUACGGGAGGCAGCAGUAGGGAAUCUUCCGCAAUGGACGAAAGUCUGACGGAGCAACGCCGCGUGAGUGAUGAAGGCUUUCGGGUCGUAAAACUCUGUUGUUAGGGAAGAACAAGUGCUAGUUGAAUAAGCUGGCACCUUGACGGUACCUAACCAGAAAGCCACGGCUAACUACGUGCCAGCAGCCGCGGUAAUACGUAGGUGGCAAGCGUUAUCCGGAAUUAUUGGGCGUAAAGCGCGCGCAGGUGGUUUCUUAAGUCUGAUGUGAAAGCCCACGGCUCAACCGUGGAGGGUCAUUGGAAACUGGGAGACUUGAGUGCACAAGAGGAAAGUGGAAUUCCAUGUGUAGCGGUGAAAUGCGUAGAGAUAUGGAGGAACACCAGUGGCGAAGGCGACUUUCUGGUCUGUAACUGACACUGAGGCGCGAAAGCGUGGCGAGCAAACAGGAUUAGAUACCCUGGUAGUCCACGCCGUAAACGAUGAGUGCUAAGUGUUAGAGGGUUUCCGCCCUUUA